UGUGAUUUAUGGCUCAAGUUGGUUUUCUCGGAGGCAAGUGUUAGUCAUUCUGCAAUUUCAACAGGAGAACAAAGACCACCUUUACUGCAUCCACUUACGUCACAUGAGACGGCCCUGCUGCGCAGCGCAAUACUAAGUUUCAUGUCAUCAACAUAUCCUAAACUGCUCCGGCAUCAUGGACACAGUGGUUCAACACAUCAUACGAAGUCAACAUUAACGAACGUGCCAACUCCGUUUGAAACUAUCGAUGCCUGAAACAGAGAGCGUAGAUAUAAAAGAAAUGCGCCAAUGCGAACAUAUGCGUAUUCGCACAGGUAAUAGAAGGAUUUUAAAAAAGAAAAAUCAGCCCUAAAUAAUAUUACGUAACUUGUAUUGACACCGAUUUCUCGGGUUAGCGAAGACCCAGCCUGUAGCUUACAACACACGUUGCACAAACUGAUAUUCUACCGUCGACAGUGUUCGUUCACACUCUCUCAGGCUUUCCAAAAAAGCGAUACUUUUCAGGUGUCAUAAGCUGCACUGGCUGUACUGGCUGUACUGGCUUUCGCCAACAGCUGUCUACCAUUCCAAUUUUAGGGAAAUAAUGCUUAUUUUUGAGAGUUUCCUAGUACAGCAACACCAGUGUAAGUAUUGCGCUAUUACAUAUUAUGCAUUUGUUCCAUUAACACAAAACGUUCCAACGUUGCUUCUCAAAAUAAACAGUUCUGGUUCUCGCU